rnacentral:rRNA from 1 species
UACAGAGGUCCCAAGCGUUGUUCGGAUUUACUGGGCGUAAAGGGCGCGUAGGCGGUCAGCACAAGUCAGUUGUGAAAUCUCCGGGCUUAACUCGGAAAGGUCAACUGAUACUGUGCGACUAGAGUGCAGAAGGGGCAACUGGAAUUCUCGGUGUAGCGGUGAAAUGCGUAGAUAAUCGUAAGGAAGACCAGUGGCGAAGGCGGGUCUCUGGACAGUUCCUGACGCUGAGGCACGAAGGCCAGGGGAGCAAACGG